AUAAUGACGGUGUUAAGGUAGCGAAAUUCCUAGCCUUUUAAUUGGAGGCCUGCAUGAAUGGCUUGACGAGCGCCCUGCUGUCUCUCUUCCCAUGAACUUUUAAAUUAACUUUCGCGUGCAAAGGCGCGAAUGGCUGAGUUAGACGAAAAGACCCUAUGCAUCUUUACUGAGAGAGAAGAAAGUUCUUUAGCUUGGUUUAGCUGGGGCAGCUGAGGAAAAGGCAAAAUUUCCUUAAUAUAAAUCAUACUGGUGGGUUUAGAUCCAGGCUCUUUAGCGGGCUUGACAAGUAGAAAAGUUACGCUAGGGAUAACAGCGUUAUCCUUCUGUGGAGGUCUUAUCUGCAGGAGGGAUUGCGACCUC
rnacentral:rRNA from 1 species